rnacentral:rRNA from 1 species
UUUGGGCAAUGGGCGAAAGCCUGACCCAGCAACGCCGCGUGAAGGAUGAAAUCCCCUCGGGAUGUAAACUUCGCAAGAAUGGGAAGAAUAAGUAGGGGACAAUACCCCCUAUGAUGACGGUACCAUUUGUAAGCUCCGGCUAACUCCGUGCCAGCAGCCGCGGUAAUACGGGGGGAGCAAGCGUUGUUCGGAUUUACUGGGCGUAAAGGGCGCGUAGGCGGCCACGACAAGUCACUUGUGAAAUCUCCGGGCUUAACUCGGAACGGUCAAGUGAUACUGUCGGGCUAGAGUGCAGAAGGGGCAACUGGAAUUCUCGGUGUAGCGGUGAAAUGCGUAGAUAUCGAGAGGAACACCUGCGGCGAAGGCGGGUUGCUGGGCUGACACUGACGCUGAGGCGCGAAAGCCAGGGGAGCGAACGGGAUUAGAUACCCCGGUAGUCCUGGCCUUAAACGAUGAAUGCUUGGUGUCUCGGGUUACAUAGUCCCGGGGUGCCGUCGCUAACGCUUUUAGCAUUCCGCCUGGGGAGUACGGUCGCAAGACUGAAACUCAAAGGAAUUGACGGGGACCCGCACAAGCGGUGGAGCAUGUGGUUUAAUUCGACGCAACGCGAAGAACCUUACCUGGGCUAGAAUGCCUCUGACCGCCCGAGAGAUCGGGUUUCCUGGGUAAAACCAGGCAGAGUGCAAGGUGCUGCAUGGCUUC